UGGGAAGGUCGCCAAAAUUCCGGCUGCCUCCUCAAAGCAGGGUUUGCAACUUCAGCGAUUGGAAUCGUCUGCGAAGACUUAAGCAGAGAGUGAAGCCCAGAGAUUCUGAUUUAAUUGGUCUGGGGUAUGUCCUACGCAUCGAGACUUUUAAAUUCCGCAGAAAAAUCCAUCUGGCUGAAAGGUGGAGGAUGGAUUAGAUGGGUCCAGAUGGGAGGCAGAAACACCUGUUGGGAGGCUUCUGUGAACAGGUAAGUGGGAGAUGACAGUUGCCUGUGGUGAGUGGCAGCGGGGCACCAGCCCGACACAAAGGCUUUGGAGGCAGGCCUGCCUGUGUGCAGAGCCAAAGGGCUUGAGUUUCAGUUCUCCCACUACUGAAUAAGGUGAGACUUUGGGCAAGUUACUCAAUCUCUACCAGCCUCAGUCUUGUCAUCUAUAAAAUGGAGAUAAGACUGGAUGGAAUGUGUCCAAAGUGCAUACCCACUCGGAAAGCACCCGCUAAUCUUAGCUAUGAUCAUUAUUAGGUUUGAGCAGUAGAGAUGGAAGAAGUAAUUCAACAGAUAUUGAAGAAGUGGAAUGUGAGGGUUGAGGACAGGGACAAGCCAAAGAUGACCCUCAGGCUUUGGGCUCACCUCCUAUGUGCACAUGAUGCUAACACUUAGCUUAGAGAGGCCCAGAAGAAGACAGGCCAGGACUAAAUGAGCCCGAGGAGCCUGGUGAGGGAGCAAAGAGAGGUCAGGUAGACCACUACAUAUCUGGGUCUGGAACUUAAAAGAGUGAUCCUAGCAAUGUGGGACUCCUAAACUGGAGUAAGAUGGCCCCUGACAACCCAGGACUCCUUGUAUCCAUGGAAUCUGGGCCGGCCUGUGGCAACCUUUAAUGCAGCGGAAGUCAGCUGCACCAGGUCCAGGGCUAAGCUUUAAGAAGACCUGGCAGCUUCCACUCUUGCUUUGGGGACCCCUAAGGUCUCAUGUGGGAAAUCAGCCUCUCUGCUGUGGACAUCAUCUGGAGAGAGAAGCUUGGACAUGGAGAAAGGGAGGUUCAGCCAUCCCCGCAUUCCAGCUGUUGCCCCCGGAGUGGGAGACAAGCAAGCCAGCCAAUAUGGACAUUCCAGCUCCAGUUACCUUCUGACUUGUGGCCACAAGAGACACCCCCAACUAAGACAGCAGAGCUGUCCAGACAAUGUGGGCAGCUUUCCUGUCUGCGUGGGAGGAGGAGGUUGGAAGCUCCGUCUCUGGAACAGACCUCGAUGAGAGGGGGCAGAGGAAGGAGUGUUCUGCCCCCCAUCCCUGCGAGGGCAGGACCCAGCAGAGUGCGGUUUUGGCUUGAAGGAGCAAGGGGGAGAGGACUUCAGCAGGAUGAACAGGCUUAUGAGCCCAGGGGUAAGUCCAUCCGACUCUUUCCUGAGGGGCAGGAAGUUGCUCCAAGGGAAAGAUGUCAGAGGUGGGUUGGGAUAGCGUGCAAAGUGCUUGAGUGCCAGGUGCCCAAGGACCCUGGUGGGGCACUGACCAGAACCUCUGUUCUCACUGACUAUUAGCCUCCAGCUUGUAGGAGAGCUCGAAGAGGAGGUUCUGGUUGUCGAUGACCUGGAACUGGCGCACAUAGGCCUUGGUCUGGAGGUGAUGGGGGGAUGCCUCCAUAUCCAGGCCUGGAGGUGUGACAAGAGAGAGGCCUUCAGGCUCCCAGCCUCCCUUCUUGCUCUACAUGCCUACCAGCCAGAGAAGAGGGGUGUGGAUUGGGACAGGAGGGUCCCUAGAGAGGCCAAAGAGAGGAUGGAGAGCUGACAAGUUUAAGGAAAUAAAGAAUUGAGGACGGUCUCCUCCCGGAAUCCUCCCACUCAGUCAAAGCUCUACCUGUAAAGCUCUUAGAAGCCUGGGUACUCACAAAGGGGCCGGCUCCGGUAUUUGCGGAUUGUCCUCACCUUUUCAGCCACUGAAUGCUGGGAGAUGACAAGAAAUGAGCCCUAAAAAGGGUACAGAAAGAUGCUCCCCCCCCUCUUAUGCUCCCCCUGGUCUAUUCUCCAACUCUGCUGGUUUGACUCCACUCCCUCCAGGGUCUAAUUCUGGAGGGUCUCUGAAGAACCAAAGAAGGGGUGUAAUGGGGCCGGUGAGGGGAGGUAGAGUUGCCGCCCCCCCCCCCCCCAGCUCCCUGUCAGCUUUGUGGCCUGUGGGCGUGUUGCCACAGCAAUGGCAGCAGGGACGGUCAGGAGUCUGUCAGGCAAGCUGGGCACCAAGAAGGAAGGCUGCUGUCUUUAGGGGGCUGCCAGGAUGGGGGGGGGGGAAGGAUGCCAGCCCCUGCUCCUGGGCCAGGGUAGGCCGUGCCACUCACCAGCUUCUCAAUGUUCACCAAACCAUCAACAAGAGUCUUACUCCCCUCAUGCAGGAAAGUCAGGUCUAGGGGAGGGAAGAGAAGCAAAUGUGAGGAAGAAGAGAGGAGGUCCAAAGGGCCCUUCCCCUCCCCCACAACCCCUCAGUGCGGGGCUCCUCUCCAGUGGGCAUUCAGAGCUAAGUGACAGUGGUUGAUAGCCGGAACUGGGGCACAGAGACUGUGGCCAGAAGAGCAUGGGAUUGACUCUCACCUUUGAGGAUCAGAGGCACAAAGGGAAUCACAGGAGGUUUCAUCUUGGAGAUGACUUCUCGGUAGCUUUUGUGGUUCCUGCAGGGGUCCUGGCAUUCCGCAGAAGAGAGGUUAGGGGACACAUAGUCCCAGUGUACCUCAAAGAUGCCCCCUACUCCUCCCUCAUCCCCCUGCCCUAGAUCCAUCUCUGAUCAGAGAGAGGUAUGUAUGGGUGUCUAGCUGGGGGUGAGAUGGGGAGGAGCUUGACUGUCCUCCCCUCACCUCCAAAGCAAACAGGGCAGCAAUCCACCCACCCUUCCCCCUCCCAGCAUGCCAGGGGAAGGGUCUUGGGCACUAAAAACCUUAAAGGCAAGCUUGAGGAGGAAGGUUUGUGGGAACAGAGGGUCUCUGGGGUGCAAGCCCAGGGGCAGAUAAAAGAGCUGAACCCACUCACUGUCAGGUUCUCAAAUUUGCGGAACAAAUUCUUGAAUUUCCCGGGCAGCUUCUGCAGAGAGUUUGAAGGAAGAAGAAGGAAUGUCAGACUGGAGCUCCUUGCGUUUCAGGGGACCUCUGGCUAAUCCCCAGGUGUCAGAGGGGGAAAGGGCCCGGCUAUCUUGCAAGGGGCUGGCAAGCUGGUCUGGUGGGUAGGGAAAUAGAAUCAGCUCUUGGUGAGGUCUGGGGAGCUUGAAGCAGCCCGGAGGAAUGAAUUAUUCUGGGGAAUUCGAGCCUCUGCGUUGGCAUUGCCACGCACAAGGGGCCUCACUGAGCGCUGGCUGGAAUCCAUCAUCCAAGUCUGCGACCUGGCCUGGGCUGCCUGCCCCCCUCUCCGGCGGGGAUUCCGGCUUUUUACUAAUUUGCGCAAGGACAGGGCACAUUAACCUAGCGGCGUGCCCCGGGCCUGGAUCUGCCAGAAGAGGGCGCCUCCUUCCGCCUGGCACAAAGGCUCCCUAAGGGCCAGCCGCACCGCGGGAGGCAGCACCGGGGUGAGCCCGGCAGGCCAAGAUCCCCGAGCCGGGCCAGCCCAGGCGGGAGGAGAGGAGAGGGCAGCCAUGCAUCACCUCCCAGAUUGGAGACGUAAGGCUUAGAGGGUCUGGGGGUGAAUUGCCCGAGGGCACCCCGCCAGCCACCUUCUAAUGCAAAGUUCAGCUGCACACAUGGCCCGUCUCCAGGACCCCACGUUGGCACAUUUCUCCCUCCAGGCCCCCAGCCCAGCACCACCUUCAGUCCCCACCUCGUGCACACAUCGAAACAGCUCCCAGUGGAAGGCAGUAAGGUGGUUGGCGACGUCCUCAGGCUCCACUCGGUGGAUCUCUGUGUCUCCAGGGGAGACCUGGAUCUCCUCGGGGAGGGGCAUCUGGUGACAGGCAGGGGCUGGACUCCACUCUGGGCUUGUGAGUUUCUGCCCCAUAGUCCCUCUGGGCCCUCACUCCCAGCCAACGCCCUUGUGACGGAGUUCUUACCAGCGCCUCAUAGCUGUCGCGGGUGCAGGCAAACAGGUGACUGUUGAUGCCCAGCGUGGUGAAGACACAGUCUUCAGUCGGCUGGAGAAGGACCUUCUCUGCAGGAGAACGAGCUGUUCUGCCUCAGCCCUGGCUAUCUGCACCCUCACACACCCCAGCCACUGUCGCCAUCCCGUCUAGAAACUCCUAACCCUGCAUGGACACAUUCUAGACGAAUGGGACUGCUGUUAUCACCAGUUUGUGCCACAUUCAUCUGAAAUUUUCAAAUAAUGAUUUCCUCAGCAUUCAUCACCUUCUUUUACCCCCCAACAUUCUUCCACAGCUCUUCUGUCAUUCUAUCAUCCCCAUGAUACUGGAAUAUUUUUUCCCUUGCCUCAGAGGAAAAUAGGAUUCUGGCUACAUUGCAGGCUCUCUGCCUUCCCACAGGGAUUGGAGGCCCACCCUGUGUUUUAGCCUCAAAAACAUAGCCUCCAGGAGGUUAAAGAACCAGAUCCCAAGAUGAGUAAGAGGCAAGCACCUAGAUCACAAUCCAAGUGUCUUGGGCCAGUGCUUUCCAAACUUUAAUGUGCAUAGGAAUCACCUGGGAAUCUUGUUAAAAUGCUCAUUCUGAGUCAGCAGGUCUGGUGGGGUCUGAGGUGCUGCAGUUUUAAUAAGCUCCCAGGUGAUGCUCAUGUGGCUGGCCCCAGGACCACACUUCAAGUAGCCAGGGCCUAGAAUUUGUCUUUGGCCAUGCCCCAGAGCCCUGGGCAGGUGAGUUUCUCCUCUCCUGCCUGCCCCUCCCCACCCCCCCCCCCCAGCCCUGCUGUUCCUGAGCCUCACCUCCGGAGGAAGCCACAGCUACCAGGAUGAGCGAGUCCUCGCGCCCUGCAGGCUCCUCUGAGUACUGCAAUUUCUCUGUCACAGAACCCAGAAUGUCCUGCACUGACGCUGAGAGGCGGCUGCGUAUGGUCACGUAAGAGUGGUCAGGCAUGUAGACCCGGCAGAAGACUGGGCAGAGCCAGGAAGGUGGGUUUUCAUUAGAAGGCAGAAUGGCAGUGCUGGCAUCGUCCCCUCCAGGGCACCUCUGUUCCCCAUCCCAUCUCACCCCUAACCCUAAAUUGGUUGGCUUCUGAAAAAAAUGCUGGAAACAGGACAGGUUCUACAACAUAAGGAGAAUGCCCCAAAUCCAGAGACCCCAGAGGGCCCUCUGAGCCACCCUGGAAGCUCUGCCCCUCUUAGUGCCCCCACUCACUCUCAUCAGAGCCCCGGAAGGCCACUCGGGUCUGCAGACAAGAGUCUAUCCGGCGGAAGUGGCGGAACAGUGGCUUCACCUGCUUGCUGGGCGGCUGGCUUUCCUCUGGGAUCCUGACAUGGACACAGCUGGGCGUCAGGAAGUCCUGCCAGGCAUAUGGAGCGCCAGGCAGGCAACAUCAAGCAGGGACAUCAGAACUGAGUCAAGGAUGCACCAGUACCAGGUUCAGAAAGUGAUGAAGGAGGUCAGAAGAGAGACAAUGAACAGCAUGGGACAACAGUCCAAGUGACCCAGAUCAAAUGCCACCUCUUUCGUGAAUUCUUCUCUGAUCUACCCCACCCACCAGGAAAGGUCACUUUUUGGCUUUAACUGCCGUAGGACACUGGGCUAAUAUUUGUUUACGUUCGAAUCUUAUCUCUUCUACAAGGCUGAGAGCGUUUGAGGGCUGGGCUUAGUUCUUCCUGAAAUUUUUUUUUCACCCCACAGGCCUAGCACACUACUUGGCACAUGAUAGGUGUAGGUCAUCCACUGUUUGCUGAAUUUUGCUGACAAGAACUUCACAGCCUGGGAGGAGACAGAUGUGUAUACAGCUACUUCUAACACGAGGCAGGAGGUGUUAGGUGAUAUAACAAAGGUACAAGGAGAGUUCUGUUGGUAUGAGGCAGGGAGAACUUUCAUCAACAAGAUGGCAUUUGGGUUGCCUGGGUGGCUCAGUCAGUUAAGCGUCCGACUUCGGCUCAGGUCAUGAUCUUAUGGUUCAUGGGUUCAAGCCUGCUUGGGAUCCUCUGUCCCCUGUUUUCUCUGCCCCUCCCCUGCUCGUGCUCUGUCUCUCUCUCAAAAAUUAAAAUAAUAAAAACAUUUUUAAAAAUUAAAAAAAAACAAGAAGAUGGCAUUUGAGGGACACCUGGGUGGCUCAGUCGGUUAAGCAUCUGACUUCGGCUCAGGUCAUGAUCUCAUGGUUCAUGAGUUUGAGCCUUACAUCGGGCUCACUGCUGUCAGCUCAGAGCCCACCUCAGAUCCGCUGUCCCCCUCUCUCUCUGCCCCUCCCCCAUUCAUGCUGGCGCGUAGGCUUUCUCUCAAAAAAAUGAAUAAA